UGCGUGGCGGUCUGGUCGUCCUUUGUUCUUCGAAAGCAUUUCGCCAAUACUUUGGAGGCAAAAACAACAUAUUCAAACGUUUCUUACGUGCGUUUCGUGUCAAACGCAUCAUUUGAGGCCGAUACGUUGGAGAACGAGUGAGAUUUUCGUUUGUAAAGACAGCGAUGACACGCCCGCGCUUAAGCGUUUUAGUAGCUGUGUUGCAAGUUUGGCCGCUAGCCGUUGGGGACUAUUUGAGUUAUGCCCAUAGUAACCUCUUGUUCUCCGUUGCUAUGGCCAGGUGCCCGUAUGUUUUGCUCUUCAGACGACGAUGCAACGCUCAAGAAAGCAGAUCUUUCGAUGAUGAAGACAUCGGCAACUCAAUUAGUGUAGCGAAGACAAGAAGUUGACAUGAACGCAUCGAAACAAUCAUCAAUAGCUAUGAGAUUUGUAUCAUUCGAAAGCGCAAUUAACAGGCUUUCAAAUCUGCAUGUAUUGUAAUUUUGGCUUCUAUAAUGUGGCUGCAAUUGCGAAUAAUAGGUAAUGGAUUUUAGGUUACGUGCGCGCGCUACCCAAUUAGUACAUUCUUUGUUAUGUGUUCGUCAGAAUUUCAGGUGAUUUCUACACCUACUGACCGGUUGCAUUUAUCACGUCCAGGUGUGACCUUUGCACUAAUGUCACGCCUAUAAUAUUCUAGCGCGCGCGCGCAAGGAAGUACUCGGCUUACGUGUACAUGUAGUUGCAACUGCAGCCACAUUUUAGAACUGAAAAAUCAAUUCAUACAUCUUUGGAAAGCAUAUUAAUUGCGCUUUCAUAUGGGACAGUUUUUGUAACUAUUGACAACUGUUUCAAUAUUUGAUUUCGAUUUGUUGAUGCUACUCUAAUUACUUGACAGCAAAACUUCAACUCAACACAACACAUCUAUUCCAAUUAUAUCUGUAUACCUGUAAAAAUUUCUAUGCCCUAUAUACAAACUUUUUAGUGAUAUGUCAUCUAAAAAGUAA